rnacentral:rRNA from 1 species
AUUGAACGCUGGCGGCAGGCCUAACACAUGCAAGUCGAGCGGGGUUUUCGGACCUAGCGGCGGACGGGUGAGUAAUGCGUAGGAAGCUGCCCGAUAGAGGGGGAUACCAGUUGGAAACGACUGUUAAUACCGCAUAAUGUCUACGGACCAAAGUGUGGGACCUUCGGGCCACAUGCUAUCGGAUGCGCCUACGUGGGAUUAGCUAGUUGGUGAAGUAAUGGCUCACCAAGGCGACGAUCUCUAGCUGGUUUGAGAGGAUGAUCAGCCACACUGGAACUGAGAAACGGUCCAGACUCCUACGGGAGGCAGCAGUGGGGAAUAUUGGACAAUGGGCGCAAGCCUGAUCCAGCCAUGCCGCGUGUGUGAAGAAGGCCUUCGGGUUGUAAAGCACUUUCAGCGAGGAGGAAGGGGUGUGUGUUAAUAGUACACACCUUUGACGUUACUCGCAGAAGAAGCACCGGCUAACUCUGUGCCAGCCGCCGCAGUAAAAC